rnacentral:rRNA from 1 species
GUCUACGGCCACGCCCCCCUGAACAAGCCCAAACCUGUCUGAUCUGGAAGCUAAGCAAGGUCGGGCCUAGUGAGUACUUGGAUGAGAGCCCACCUAGGAAGACCAGGUGCUGUAGGCG